rnacentral:autocatalytically_spliced_intron from 1 species
UUAUAAAGGUUAAAUCUAUAACCCCGUAGAGACUACACGAUGCCUCCUGAUUGGCUAUCAGGAUGAAGAUAUAGUCCAUGCCUCUGGAAACAGAAGG